AGGACGAACGCUGGCGGCGUGCUUAACACAUGCAAGUCGAGCGGUAAGGCUCCUUCGGGAGUACACGAGCGGCGAACGGGUGAGUAACACGUGAGCAAUCUGCCCUUCUCUUCGGAAUAACCAUUGGAAACGAUGGCUAAUGCCGAAUACGACCUCCUUUCGCAUGAUCGGAGGUGGAAAGCUCCGGCGGAGAAGGAUGAGCUCGCGGCCUAUCAGCUAGGUUGGCGGGUAACGGCCCACCAAGGCGACGACGGGUAGCCGGCCCGA
rnacentral:rRNA from 1 species